AGCUCAGUUGGUAGAGCAUGAGACUUUUAAUCUCAGGGUCGUGGGUUCGAGCCCCAU
rnacentral:tRNA from 1 species